rnacentral:rRNA from 1 species
UUGGUCCUACGGGGCGCAGCAGUAGGGAAUAUUGGGCAAUGGGCGCAAGCCUGACCCAGCAACGCCGCGUGAAGGAAGAAGGCUUUCGGGUUGUAAACUUCUUUUAUCAGGGACGAAGCAAGUGACGGUACCUGAUGAAUAAGCCACGGCUAACUACGUGCCAGCAGCCGCGGUAAUACGUAGGUGGCAAGCGUUAUCCGGAUUUACUGGGUGUACAGGGCGUGUAGGCGGGAGUGCAAGUCAGAUGUGAAAAAUAUGGGCUC